AUUGAACGCUGGCGGCAUGCCUUACACAUGCAAGUCGAACGGCAGCGGGGGAGAAGCUUGCUUUUCCUGCCGGCGAGUGGCGAACGGGUGAGUAAUACAUCGGAACGUGCCCUGUAGUGGGGGAUAACUAGUCGAAAGAUUAGCUAAUACCGCAUACGACCUGAGGGUGAAAGUGGGGGACCGCAAGGCCUCAUGCUAUAGGAGCGGCCGAUGUCUGAUUAGCUAGUUGGUGGGGUAAAGGCCUACCAAGGCGACGAUCAGUAGCUGGUCUGAGAGAACGAUCAGCCACACUGGGACGGAGACCCGGCCCAGACUCCUACGGGAGGCAGCAGUGGGGAAUUUUGGACAAUGGGCGAAAGCCUGAUCCAGCAAGGCCGCGUGUGUGAAGAAGGCCUUCGGGUUGUAAAGCACUUUUGUCAGGGAAGAAACGGCUGAGGAUAAUACCUUCGGCUAAUGACGGUACCUGAAGAAUAAGCACCGGCUAACUACGUGCCAGCCGCCGCGGUAAAAC
rnacentral:rRNA from 1 species